GCUGUCGUUGACUCUGUUUGGUUAAUUAAUGCCUUAUACUGUAAAUGCAUGGAUUAGAAAAAGAAAACAAAUGGAGAACGCUGUUGUUCGAUGAAUGUUUAGUGGCUGUAAUUUAUUAUAGAAAAAGAAAAUAAUGCUGUUGCUGAUGUUUUAGUCCAGCUAAGACAAUGUUCUCAGCCUGUGUGUGUGUGUGUGUGUGUGUGUGUGUGUGUGUGUGUGUGUGUGUGUGUGUGUGUGUGUGUGUGUGUGUGUGUGUGUGUGUGUGUGUGUGUGUGUGUGAAGAUUUCAUGUCUGAAAUGGGUUUGUGUUUUUUUUUUUUUUUCUUCAUGUAUGCACUAACAUUUCUGUACAGUUCCUCUCGCCAAAUGUAUAUAUACUGAAUGUAUUGUUUGGGGACGUAGAGGCUUUGAGAUUCUGACAAAUAAAGUUUAUGGGUCUAACUUAA